GAGUUUGAUCCUGGCUCAGAUUGAACGCUGGCGGCAGGCCUAACACAUGCAAGUCGAGCGGUAACAGANAGUAGCUUGCUACUUUGCUGACGAGCGGCGGACGGGUGAGUAAUGCUUGGGAACAUGCCUUGAGGUGGGGGACAACAGUUGGAAACGACUGCUAAUACCGCAUAAUGUCUACGGACCAAAGGGGGCUUCGGCUCUCGCCUUUAGAUUGGCCCAAGUGGGAUUAGCUAGUUGGUGAGGUAAUGGCUCACCAAGGCGACGAUCCCUAGCUGGUUUGAGAGGAUGAUCAGCCACACUGGGACUGAGACACGGCCCAGACUCCUACGGGAGGCAGCAGUGGGGAAUAUUGCACAAUGGGCGCAAGCCUGAUGCAGCCAUGCUCGCGUGUGUGAAGAAGGCCUUCGGGUUGUAAAGCACUUUCAGUCAGGAGGAAAGGUUAGUAGUUAAUACCUGYUAGCUGUGACGUUACUGACAGAAGAAGCACCGGCUA
rnacentral:rRNA from 1 species